rnacentral:lncRNA from 1 species
CAGUUUUUAAAAUUUUAUUAUUAGACAGUGGAUUUAUAUAAUAAACCUUUAUUAGUUUUAAGUGCAUUGUGUUUUGAUUGAUUGAAUCUUUAAUUAUGGCGGUGUCUAUGAUGAUAAAUUUGAAGGCUUGUUUCUCAAGACAUUCGCAGUGGCCGACUAAGAGCUUUCGCCUUCGCCAGGCUUGAGAGUUUAUGCUGCUUUUAUCCUUCCUUGGAUGUCUGAGACACCACCUUUUCAACUUACCAUUUUCAAAAAUUUGAACUUUUGCCUUUUCAACCAAGUGAUUUUUGGAUAUUUUUGUUAUAUUGUUUGGUGCUUGUUCUUUUGAAACUAUAAUUUUUGAAGCCAAAUUUGGAAUAUUUAUGUUUGAUGUGGCUAAAGGUCAUAGCUUUUUUGAACAUUAUGGUCUUUGUUUUAUGAUAUUAGGGGAUUUGGAACAAUAAUGUAUACGGUGGCCCAUACGAGUUUUGUGAAAUUGUUUUUAUGCAAAUAGAGCAGAAUGUACAGAGAAUUUAUACAAUUAGCCUAACUAGUUUGUAGUUUCAUUGUACUUUGAUUUAUUUUGUUGAAUCUUAAUCUUAUGGUGUCUAUGAUGAUAAAUUUUAAGGCUUGUUUCUCAAAACAUUCGCAGUGGCCGCCUAAGUGCUUUCGCCUUCGCCUGGCUUGAGAGUUUAUGCUGCUUUUAUCCUUCCUUGGAUGUCUGAGACACUACAUUUUCGUCUUACAAGUAUUACAUUUUGUAACUUUUGCUUUUUAAUCUACCAUUUUGGUGUCAAAUUUGGAAUUUAAAUGUUAUUUGUGGCUAAGGAUUAUAGCUUUUUGGAAACAUUAUGAUUUUUGUUUUAUAAAUCAGGGGAUUUGGGACUAGAAUGUCUGCCCCUGAAGCAAAUGUAAAGUUGCUUUAGGGAUGAACAAGUCCCUGAUAAUUGAACUCCAUUCUUCACUUUGUCAGCAUUGUUUUAUUUUAUGCUUUGCUGAUCAUUAUCGGAUGAUACACUUAUUUUUGGAUUAAUUUGUUAAGUUGC